GGUUGGUCUGAAGGUAGUGAGUUACUCAGUUGAUUGUUCAGAGUCAGUUACAGAUCGAACUUCUUAUUCUACUCCUUCCCCCUUCUCGCUACUGCACUUGACUACUCAAAA
ensembl:misc_RNA Y_RNA Y RNA